AAUCAACGCUGGCGGCGUGCCUAACACAUGCAAGUCGCACGAGAAAGGGGCUUCGGCUCUGAGUAAAGUGGCGCACGGGUGAGUAACACGUGACUAAUCUACCCUCGAGUGGGGAAUAACUGAGAGAAAUCUUAGCUAAUACCGCAUAACACUUACGAGUCAAAGCAGCAAUGCGCUUGGGGAGGAGGUCGCGGCCGAUUAGCUAGUUGGCGGGGUAAUGGCCCACCAAGGCGAUGAUCGGUAUCCGGCCUGAGAGGGCGCACGGACACACUGGAACUGAAACACGGUCCAGACUCCUACGGGAGGCAGCAGUGGGGAAUUUUGCGCAAUGGGGGAAACCCUGACGCAGCAACGCCGCGUGGAGGAUGAAAUAUCUUGGUAUGUAAACUCCUUUCGAUGGGGAAGAU
rnacentral:rRNA from 1 species